rnacentral:misc_RNA from 1 species
GAUGAAGAACGUAGCGAAAUGCGAUAAGUAGUGUGAAUUGCAGAAUUCAGUGAAUCAUCGAAUCUUUGAACGCACAUUGCGCCCCUUGGUAUUCCAUGGGGCAUGCCUGUUCGAGCGUCAUUUGUACCUUCAAGCUUUGCUUGGUGUUGGGUGUUUGUCCCGAGGGACUCGCCUUAAAGUAAUUGGCAGCCAGUGUUUGGUUUUGAAGCGCAGCACAAGUCGCGAUUCAAGGCUACACGCCCGCUUCCACAAGCCUUUUUUCACUUUUGACCUCGGAUCAGGUAGGGAUACCCGCUGAACUUAAGCAUAUCAAUAAGCGGAGGA